rnacentral:rRNA from 1 species
UGGGGAAUAUUGCACAAUGGGCGCAAGCCUGAUGCAGCCAUGCCGCGUGUAUGAAGAAGGCCUUCGGGUUGUAAAGUACUUUCAGCGGGGAGGAAGGGAGUAAAGUUAAUACCUUUACUCAUUGACGUUACCCGCAGAAGAAGCACCGGCUAACUCCGUGCCAGCAGCCGCGGUAAUACGGAGGGUGCAAGCGUUAAUCGGAAUUACUGGGCGUAAAGCGCACGCAGGCGGUUUGUUAAGUCAGAUGUGAAAUCCCCGGGCUCAACCUGGGAACUGCAUCUGAUACUGGUCAGCUAGAGUCUUGUAGAGGGGGGUAGAAUUCCAUGUGUAGCGGUGAAAUGCGUAGAGAUGUGGAGGAAUACCGGUGGCGAAGGCGGCCCCCUGGACAAAGACUGACGCUCAGGUGCGAAAGCGUGGGGAGCAAACAGG